AUAUUUUAAAGUAAAUCUACUUUCUUAAUAUCUUCAAUAUUAUGCUUUAAAUAAGCUAUUAAAAUA
rnacentral:tRNA from 2 species